GAAAGCCACGCAUAACCCACACCCAAAUAAGCAAGCAGGACCGGUCGGUCACGUUGCCUUGAUCAAAUCUUCAGCGAUUUUUGCAUUGACAGAGGCUGGGACAUGAAUGGUUGGUUGAAGGUUCUAGUCGCUAGGAGGUUUUGAGGGCGCUAUGCUUUGGAGGAAUAGCUAGGGGACCCUGGAGUGGGUGAUGGGAUGCCUAGGCAGCAGUCACUCUCCUAGGUCCGAAUUCCUUGUUCACUUAUGCUGUCUGUAUUUAAAGCGAUUGGUUUUAAUCCGGAGCCCUAGCGCCAAAGCCAUGCUGUAAGAAGCGAGAUUUUAGGACAGUCUGAGGACUGUCCCUGGUCCCUUGGGGGUGGGGUAGGAGGGUUGCAGGAGUGGCGAGUGGCUGUCUGUGCGGUGUCUUCCUUGCAUUUGAUCCCUGCAGUUACGGAGCUAAAGUAGAGAAACUGCUUUGCUGUGGAUUGCAUUGUCGUGUCAUUUGGUGUACUGAUACCGCAUAAACGAUCACCUGAUCCACAGAUCGAUUGGGAUGCACACCUGCCCAGUACUGCAACAGAGUAGAAGUUUCUCUUCCUUGUCUAAUUUUUCCAAAAGAUGAAUGAUUUUUGUAUUCAUUAUAGAGGCUUAAAAAUUCUGCUAAGAGGAUCUGAGGCCGCAUAAAGAGAAUCAACAUAUUGGGAUACGUUCAUUACAAAUACAGCUUAUCAACUUUGGAGUAUACUUUCUUGCCAUGAGAACCACUGAAAGUUGUCCAAAAGCACUUAUCUAACUGACUGUUAAGAGGAAUGUGUUGUUUAUUGAGGAUCCAAUCUGACUUAAAUCAGACAAAUGAAACUAAAUUAUAUUUUAUAGCUAUCCAUAGUGAUGCACACUUGUAUUCUGUAAUUCAGAAGUCUAGAAGUGAGGCAGGAGGACCAUAAUGUUAAAGCCAUAAUGUUAGAAUAUGUAGGAAGACCUUGACUCAACAAAUAAAGAAGUGUAUGUGUGUGUGUGUCUUCAUAUAAUAAAUUUAAUGUCAUUGUUCUUAAACAUUUUAAAUAUUACAGGAGAAGAAACAUUUGUUUCGACACAGUUUAGAAACUUAUUGAAAUAUUUCAAGUAUUAGGUAUUUACUUGCUUGAAUAUAUUAAACUAUAUGAUUACGUAACUCAACUCCCACAUAAUGCCAUAGAUAUUAUAUUCUCAUCUUCUGCCUUCAAAGUAAGUCUGGUUUUUACAAUGCUCUCAGAAGUCAACUUUUUCAGUUUCAAGUUAAGAUCAUUUCUUCUUGCAUUUCACGAUCGCCAUCUGAAGCCCUUUAUCUAGCAGACUUAACAUCAAUGAUGGUUGUUCUUUGCUUCCUGUCUUUACUUCCUUUAGAUCUGCAAAUCAAUACAAUUCACCUAUUACCUCACUAAAAAUCUGCCAAGGAAGCAUUAAAAUGAUUUAGUUUUAGAGAUAUAAUGUAGCAUUAUACCAUACUCAGAGUGUAGCAGGACCUCUUGCUUUGAUCUUCAAAACCCCCUAAAAAGGAAAGAAUAUACACACACACAAUAAUUUUUUAUGAUUUGUAUAUAUAUAUAUAUACAUAUAUAUGUGUGUGUGUGUGUAUUCUGUUACUUGCAUAUAAAAGAGUCAUAUUUGACACAAAAUUAUGCAUGCAUAUUUGCCCUCAUUAAGAUAUUGCGAUUUGUUCACUUUAGUCUCCUUACUGUGUUUAUUUGUCUUUAGAGCUUUCUUGUUGAAAGUUUCCAAAGUUUCUUUAGUACUUCUCUGUGGAGUAAGCUUCACAUUUAAUUUUAUAAGAUCAGUGUGCUGUUAAACAAACUGAAUCUGUGUAUUUGAAUCUUAAGUAAAAAAGUCUGUAUUCUAGAUGAUAUAUAAAGGUUAUAUAGUCUGUCCUCUCAUACUUAUAAAGAAGCUAAAAACCACAAAAUGCCAUGGUUAUUUUCAGCAUGUGCCAACCAGUGAUCUAAAGGAUUGGAGAUGGAGUGUUCUGGGCUCUUCAGUUACUGUGAAUUCUAUAUCAACUGGAUGCUUUAGUAGUUUUUACAGCUGGGGUCAUUUGAAAUUAAAAUAAUAAGUGGAAGGAUGUGAAAAAAAUACAAAGACCAAUAACAUGUAGCUAGUUAUCUCAGAGCUUUUAGGAAACUGCUAAUUCCACAUCUGCUCCAACUUAACAUACAGACACUCCUCUAUCCCACAUAUAAGGAGAAAGUAUUUAAAACAAUAAUGCUGAUUUCUUUUUCUUUUUCUUUUCUUUUGGUUUUUUGAGACAGGUUUUCUCUGUAUUGUUUUGGAGGAUGUCCUGUAACUUGCUCUAUAGACCAGGCUGGCUUCAAACUCACAGAGGUCUGCCUGCCUCUGCCUCCUGAGUGCUGAGAUUAAAGGUGUGCACCACCAAUGCCGGGGUAAUAAUGUUAAUUUCUUAUGGACUCCCUUUAGUUUUUCAUUUGUACAUGUGUUGGAUCGUCUUUAGACUAUUUCUCCCUCACACUACAAACUAUACAGAGUCUCGCUACCUGUGAUGUAAUACUCCUUUAAGCCACAGCUGAUUUACUUCUUAAAUUUCUACUCCUCAAAGAAAAUGGGAGUAUUGCAAUGAGAGAAGCAUGAUUUAAUAACCUGCAUAUAAAAGAUAUACAACUGAAAAAGUUUCUUGUAAUGGAAACAUGCAGAACAAAAUAGGUUUUAUUAAAAUAAUCAAAGAAAUCUUUCCAACUUGUAACAAUGUACAAAACCUUAGUCACUUCUAAUUUCUCAAUAUUCUGGGGAUCAAGAAGCCAUUGCAAUUUAGUUCAUUCUUUUAUAUAUGUCAAUAUUUGAGUAUAUUAUUCAGGUUUUUAUUUAAUCUAUUUAUUCAUGCAUCAAACCAAAAAAUGAAUGUGAGCAACAACAUCCAUUUGCCAAAUAUCCGUUAUUAAUUAUACAGGAACAUCAAAAAUAGAAGUCAAACCUAAAUUUGUAUGUUUGAGAAAGGAUUUCUCUGUGUAGCCCUCUCUGUUCUGGAAUUAACUCUGUAAACUAGACUGAUGUCAAACUCAGAAAUUCACCUGCCUCUGCCUCCCAAGUGCUGACAUCAAAGGCAUGUAAUACCACCACCCUGAAAAAUUAAAUAUUUUUAAAUGCCCCAUCUUUUUACCUUACCAAAUUAAAAUGUUUAAGUUAAAAACAUCUUUUGUGACUUAUGGAAACAUUGCUAGAAACAUUUUUAGUAGAGAUUUUACUGCUGCAUGUGUUUGUGUGAUCAAUAAGUCUUUAUAUGCAGACUUUAUAUGGUGUUGAAUGCAUUUCAUAUAUCAUACUGUCUACUACUCUUUCUACAUGAAAAAAAUCAUGAUUGCUUCCUUCAUGAUGUUUUUAACUACCUCCCUCUAAGCUCCUGUUAACAAACACAGUACUGAACACAGGGGGAAAGCUCAAUAAAUAUCUAUUUAAAGGCUCAAACUAAGUACUUCAUUAAACUCUCCAGUAUUUUAGGCAUUGUUGGUCUCAUUUAAUUUAACUAAUUAUUUAUAAAUAUAGUUGCUGAAUAGAAGAAUCUUUUUCAAAAUAUGUUUACAAUAUUUCUUAUACAUUGACCCAGUGAGUCAAAUCCUGUUAGAAAUGACAGUCUUCCUGAGCAACUCCAUGGCUUAUAAAUGUGUUAGUAGGCAUGAUAUUAACUUGAUCUCUUCACGUGUUGUGAAGUAAAUUACACGAUUUUCUACAAAUAAACUGAAGUGUUAGGAAUCUAUAAGAUUGCAUUAAGUUACUUCAAAUCCAAUAAUUAGCUACAGAAUUAUUCAUAGUCAAAAUGGCAUCAGAUACAUAUGAUAGUAGAUACACAAAAUACUAUUUAGGACCUAGGGGAGGGGGCCAGGAAGAUGAAGGAGGAAGCAAGAAUCAUCCUCAAUUAAUUGAAGACAAUAUGGAAAAUACCACUCCCGUGAUGAAGACCAGACGCUAAGCAUGGAAAGAUUAAAUUCAGAUGAUGUAGAAAUUUAAGAAAUAUUGAGAUACAAAGAGAGAGAGACAGAGAGACAGAGAGACAGAGAGAGGGAGGGGGGCCAGAAGAGAAAAGCAGAUGGGGGCUGAGGGAAGCAUAUUUUCAGAGAGAAUGGCAUGAAGCUAUUUAAUUCUUUUCUCCUUUAUUUUUUCCACAGUGUACGAUCAAGAAUGCUAACUGAACAUUUACUUAAUUAGGAUGCAUCAUUACUUUUAGUGUCUGAUGAACUGAAAAGGCCUUUCACCUCUUCAAAGAAAAUAAAGAGAAACUGAAAUA